CGCCGCCCGGCCCCGCUAACUGGGGCCGUCUCCGGGUGACCUCGGCAGAGCGCGGCCUGAGGGACGGCCGGAGCUCGUUGGCACCUGCCGGAGCCGCUCGUGCCGACCGAGGUCUGGGCCCUUGGGGUCAGAGGGCCCGGGAGAAUGUGGAACGCAGAGGCAUUCCCUGCGGAGGGGAAGAGGGGAGGGGUUCCCUCCACAGUUGGUGCUUUCGCCCCCGCGCGGCCCGCGGUCUGCGGGAGAAACUGACAGCCUCUCUUGCAACGGGGCUGCGCGCGGCAUAUCCCCAGUUAAGAGCCAGUGCUCCUGAUGAAUAAAUCAUGAGGGUGAAAGAUAUGUAAGUACCAAAUUACAAAAUACCUUAAAAGUGGUCCACUCUGAUACCAUUCACCAGCACCAGCACCACCGUCAUCUGAUGCUUGAAACUCUCAAAUAGGUUGGAGUAUUGUUCAGCAAGAAUUUCCUCCCUUCUUCCUCCCACUUGGAUGGGAGUAUAUUUACUCACCUUUUAGAUUUUGAGCUUGACCAUGUGACCUACUUGGCCAGUGAAACAAGUGGAUGUGAAUCAAGCGAGGCAUCAACAUGUUUUACGGAGUUGCCCUUGGACUCCGGCUUCCGUGUGACUCAGCCCAGGUAGAUGUUGCCCCGUUAGCCUGGUAUCAGAACAAAGAUGAGAAAUGUGUCUGAAGCCAGCCUGCAACUGCAAACCCAUCUGCCUUGCUGCCUAAAGAAGACAUCCCAGGCCACCCACGGACCUAUAAGUGAGAAAAAUAAAUG